AGUGAACGCUGGCGGUAGGCCUAACACAUGCAAGUCGAACGGCAGCACAGUAAGAGCUUGCUCUUACGGGUGGCGAGUGGCGGAAGGGUGAGGAAUACAUCGGAAUCUACUUUUUCGUGGGGGAUAACGUAGGGAAACUUACGCUAAUACCGCAUACGCCCUACGGGUGAAAGCAGGGGAUCUUCGGACCUUGCGCGAUUGAAUGAGCCGAUGUCGGAUUAGCUAGUUGGCGGGGUAAAGGCCCACCAAGGCGACGAUCCGUAGCUGGUCUGAGAGGAUGAUCAGCCACACUGGAACUGAGACACGGUCCAGACUCCUACGGGAGGCAGCAGUGGGGAAUAUUGGACAAGGGGCGCAAGCCUGAUCCAGCCAUACCGCGUGGGUGAAGAAGGCCUUCGGGUUGUAAAGCCCUUUUGUUGGGAAAGAAAAGCAGCAGGUUAAUACCCCGCUGUUCUGACGGUACCCAAAGAAUAAGCACCGGCUAACUUCGUG
rnacentral:rRNA from 1 species